AAUUAUCAACCUCUCUUGGAUUUGUAUUCAUGGGAGUGUUGGACUUGGGAGUUUUGCGAGCGCUUUCGAGCACUAGCUCUCCUCAAAAACAUUAGCUGGAACGUCUCCUCAGACUGUAUCAUAGUGUGAUAAUUAUCUGCGCUAUUGAUUAGGCUGACUUGUGUUGAGACUCUGCUUAUAACUGUCCUACAUAUUGGACAAGGACACUUGUGUCCUUCUUUGACA
rnacentral:misc_RNA from 1 species